AGGCGGGGAGCUGUGAAGCGCUCGCUCCAGCGCAGCGCGAACGCUGAGGGCGGAGUAGGCCACGGUGCCUUUCUUUCCCUUAAGCUCUUCCUAAGGCCUUUUGGAGGAAUGCAUCCGAGGUUCUUGGUUGCCUGGCGGCGAGCAGAGGGCAGAGCUGCGCGGCGGGAGCGGCUCCGGGCUGAGGCUGCCAGUGAAACCCGCGGUGAAUGGCAGAGAAGCCGCCGUUGUAUUUCAGCCGUCUGGGUAGCUGAGCGGUUGAUUUCUAACAGCUAUUGUCUUGUUUUGUGAAAAGGAGCAAUUGACUUGACUGAUGUUUAGUAGCCCAAGAGAGUAUGGAAAUCUUCCCAGAAAAAAAAAAUAUAGUAGUUAUUCCUUGCAACAAGAAGGCUGCGCGAGUUCACGUGCGGCCUCCAGUCCGAGCCCCCAAACCCGCGGGCCGGCAUCGCAGCCGCAGCUGUCCGGUGUGCAAAUCCAGAGGGACAUCACCGCUUAAACAGUAUCCGAUUAAACAGUGUUCCCUGUAAGAAAACCCAUCCAAGCAGUAACAAAGCUAGGAACAGCCUCACAGGAAUGGGGCUUCCAAUGACCGUGGAAAACAGGUGACAACUUAUCCCAGCUGAACAGGGGUACUUUCCUUUCUAUAGCAUCACAGAAAAGGAAUUUACUUCUGGGCUCUCUUUUCCUUGUCCCCCAAAGCGAAGGUCGCAGAUAUUGAGAUGCUGUUAAGUAUUUGUAAGGCUAAUUAAUACCAGCUAAAACACUGGAAGAUAAAUGUUGCACAGUUGUCAGCAAAGCAAGAAGUGCAGCCAUCACAUUUCUUCCAUUUUAUACUCUGAUGUCCAGUCACUUGGACGGUAAGCGCUGAACGUGCCUUGUGCUCCUGCAUCAUGAGGGCAAGAAAAUCUUCUCAUCAAUCUGGCUCGGAAAGCAGGCUGACGCUGAACAGGAAGAGGCAGCAGGAGGAGACAGAUGGACAUCGGCUGCUUGCUACUAUUAGCAGAAAAAAUGUAAUGCAUUUCUAGAUUAUCUAUUUCUGGGUACAAUUAAAGUACCAGAUGUGAAUUUUACAAAAAUACCCCAUGGUACAAAACUGCUACAGGUCCUGAUACCAGACAAGGUCAGGUGGGAUGUAUGCGCCAGUCUCAUUAUUUCUCGGUUUAAGGACUGAGUAGAUAGAUAUGGAAAGACAGUGUAAAAAUGGACCGGGCACUUUUCUAAAAUACGAAGUUCUGGAUACCUGGAUGGUACACUUACAUAUUUUCUUCUCAGAAAAGUCUGACAUUUAUCUUCACUUUUAAAAGCAUGCUGUAUAUCAAUGCACAAAGUACUGUUUCUGAGGAAAAAUUUCAGAAGUUCUAGAAUAUUGAUAUAAAUUUAACUUCCA